rnacentral:lncRNA from 1 species
UGCCCCCUGCUCUGCCACUAAAAUCAUAGGUGAGGGCUCUUCUACCAUCUUCUUUGCCUCUUCCACUUUCUUUCACCUGAGCAUUCUCCCCUACCUUUGCUAUUCUCCCACUCCACCAUUAGAAUUCUAGCUGAGGGCUCCUCCCAUCACUCAUUUGUCUGAACAUUCUCCACCACCUCUAUUGUUCCCCUAUUCCGUCAUUAGA